rnacentral:rRNA from 1 species
AGUAAAGUGGCGUACGGGUGAGUAACACGUGGAUCAUCUACCCUCUUGUGGGGGGAUAACCCUGGGAAACCGGGGCUAAUACCGCAUAAGCUCGAGAGAGGAAAGCAGCAAUGCGCAGGAGGAGGAGUCCGCGGCCGAUUAGCUAGUUGGUAGGGUAAAAGCCUACCAAGGCAACGAUCGGUAGCCGGCCUGAGAGGGCACACGGCCACACUGGCACUGAAACACGGGCCAG